rnacentral:rRNA from 1 species
CAGCCGUAAACUAAUGCGCGUUAGGUGUAUCGGUGACCACGAGUUACCGAGGUGCCGAAGGGAAACCGUGAAACGUGCCGCCUGGGAAGUACGGUCGCAAGGCUGAAACUUAAAGGAAUUGGCGGGGGGAGCACCACAACAGGUGGAGCCUGCGGUUUAAUUGGACUCAACGCCGGGAAGCUCACCGGAUAGGACAGCAGAAUGAUUGCCGGGCUGAAGACCCUGCAUGACUAGCUGAGAGGUGGUGCAUGGCGUCAGUGACU